rnacentral:lncRNA from 1 species
GUGAAUGGGCAUAUAAAAGUGAAGUAGAAGAUGCUCCAAAGUAUGAUGAAAAAAUUGUGAAUGAUGAGACUGAGAUCUAACCGGACAAAGGUGACAAUAAUUGCUUUAUUUCUCAUCGUGUUCUUAGUGUCACUACUGCAAAAGAAGCAAACGGACUAGUUUGACAAUUAAAUCUGAAAAUUUGUGCACUUCCAAAUUUGAGCUCCAAAUUAAAAUUGAAAUCCUUCUUUUCCCUAUCCAACAACAUACUCAAAAGGUUUAAUGGACAUCAUAGUUCACUUGGGAUCCAAGGUUUUUCAAAUUGUAAUAGAAAAACUCUCCAGAACUGCAUUUCAAAGUGGCAUACUCCACACUGGUUUCAGACUUACCUCAGUUUCAGCAGCUGAGCUGAAAACUCUACCACUUUCAAACUUUGAACCCCAUUUAAAAUGUGGAUUAUUUAUUUUCUCUGUAAAACAACAUGUCUAAUAGCUUCACUACAUAUCAAAGUCCACUUCUUCUCUAAAACAUCUCCCAGCUUCAAUGAAAAUUCUGCUAGAAAUUAAAUUCAAAGUUGACUGAUUGUUACUAAUUUCAGACUUGUAUUUUUAGACCAUGAACAACACUUCCAAGUCAAUCCAUCUUUGACUAUGAAUUUGAGGUGCUUAUAACUUGAAUUUCACUUCCAAUUUGAUUCCAUUGAAUUCUAAAUGCCUUCAAGGCUUGCCUUCACAUUUUUGUCAAAUUUCUUCGGUUUUGAAUCUCAAAUUUGCAUUUCUGGUCAAAUUUUGACCUAAAGUUGACUUUGGCCCAUAAUACCUUCUUGGCAUCCAAAUUUCAUCAUUAACACCUUGAUAGCCAUUCUUAAGCUUUUUUAACACCUGGUUAUUACACCGAUCAGCCUAGACCCUUCCAAGCCAAUCGGCCUAGGGGUUUCCUUCGUCCCCUCACCUUCCAAUUUUUGCCAUGCGCUCUCUAGACUAUAAAUACCCCAAAAAAUCCAC